GCAGUGGUGGAAAAAUCAUUGGUUAAACAAAAUAAGAUUCAACGCUUCAUAUUUCUUCAAAUCUAAGUUAUUCCUUCCAUCUAAUUGUGUGGUUAGUCUUAUUGCUGUUGUUUUUCUAUCAUUUUAUUGUGAUAUUUUCUUGUACAUGAACAAUGAAAUAUCAAAAAGCCCAUAGUUUUAACUUUCUUUAAUUUGUUUUCCGGGAAAAGAAAUUGACAAUCUGGAGUUUCUUCUAGAAAAUUUAAGACAUUUGCCCCAAUUGAGGUCUAAUCUCUAGGCAUGUGAUAUUGAAGAUGCAUGUUCUGAGUGAGAUCCAGAGUGUUCGGGGACUUGAGGUUUUAUGUAGUGAAAGAGAAGCACAUCCAUCGAUCAUAGCAAUUAUUGCAUACGCAAAUAGUUGUAAUUAAACCGGAAUAGUUGCAUACAAAGAAUGCAGUUUCUUGGGUUCUUAAAGUAGAAUCCACUCCUUGGCGACUAUAAUAGGUGCUUAACCCCAAUGUUACCAGAAUUGAGUCCCUUCCACCUCUUACCUUUUGCUUCUCCCCACGAGAAUACAACUCAGUUGCAGAUUUGUUGGCCAAACAAGGUUCAUGGCGCAAUGAGGAUUUCAUUGCUUUCUUUUAAAUCCUGGUUUCAAAUUGUUGUAUGUAUUUGUGUAUUCAACUUGUUUCUUUUGUUUGUUUGCAGUUUUUCUCUUGAGACUUGAGCUGGUUUUUGGUCUCUUUGUUUCCUUUGGUUCUGGUAUUGUAAUUUUGCUCCCUCCAGGUUUUUUCACUUAGCAUGUAUCAUCUUAGGUUGGGUGUACUGGGUAGGUCUGAUGACCUGGGUUUAGUCAGAUAAUACAUGCUAAGUUUUUCCUGGAUUUAUUAAUAAAAUGAUUUUGCUUAUAAAAAAAAAAGUGAAGUCUAGCAUUGGGGAGCAUGAAUCAAGCUUCCUCAACAUAAAUUUGGAUUGAAUUUGGACUUUGAGUUGGAGUCAGGAAGUUGUUCUGUUUUUAUAUCAUCAAAUAGAGCAUCAUCACAUGACAGAGCA
rnacentral:misc_RNA from 1 species